CUUGUUGGAGGCAUCGGUUGGCUGCAGUUUGAAGGACGUGCUUUUGCCACCUUUUGGUACCUAUUUCAUUUCUACUGAGGUGGCUGCUAAGUGUCAAGAGGACAGACGCCAUAGGACCAAGUGCAGAGUGGACUCCUUCUGGAUGUUGUAGUCGGACAGGGUGCACCCAUCUUCUAGCUGUUUGCCGGCAAAGAUCA
rnacentral:lncRNA from 12 species